AGUCAUUUCAUAGGUGUAAUCCCUUGAUUGACUUAACUUGUUUUUUUAAUUAGGAAGAAGAGCGUGUUCCAUUUACCACCUGGGGAAAGUGUAUACAUAUAAACCUUUGUGCAAGUGCUCUUUUUCUGGCUGCAGAGAUCCCAAGGACCAGACUGACUAUGAGAACAACCUAGCCAUGAAGGUGUUCUUCUUCCAGUUUGUCAACUACUACUCCUCGUGUUUCUACAUCACAUUCUUUAAGGGCAGAUUUGUGACUUAUCCUGGAGAUCUGGUGUAUUGGCUGUGAAAAUACAGAAAUGAAGACGUGUGAAUACAGCUUUGUGUUCUGACA